rnacentral:rRNA from 1 species
UGAGGAACAUGACUUUCGGCGGGGGAUAGCCGGCCCAACGGCCGGGUAAUACCGCGUACGACCUUUCGGGGACAUCCCUGGGUGGUGAAAGCAGCAAUGCGCCGAUGGAGUGCCUCGCGGCCUAUCAGCUAGUUGGUGAGGUAACGGCUCACCAAGGCGACGACGGGUANCUGGUCUGAGAGGAUGGCCAGCCACAGUUGGGACUGAGACACCGGCCCAGACCUCCCGUACGGGGAGG